AGAGUUUGAUCCUGGCUCAGAACGAACGCUGGCGGCGUGCCUAACACAUGCAAGUCGGGGGAGAAAGGGAGCUUCGGCUCCCGAGUAAACCGGCGCACGGGUGAGUAAUACGUAGGUAACGUACCUUCGAGUCUGGGAUAACCAGUCGAAAGAUUGGCUAAUACCAGAUACGACCGAGAGGGCCUCGGCUCUCACGGUGAAAGAUGGCCCUCUACUCGUAAGCUAUCGCCCGAAGAGCGGCCUGCGCACCAUUAGCUAGUUGGUGAGGUAACGGCUCACCAAGGCCGAGAUGGUCUAGCUGGUCUGAGAGGAUGGCCAGGCCACACUGGCGAACUGGACGACGAACAGGGCACCACAAGGGACUUCCCCCNUAACGGGGGCAAAGGGCGGGGCCCAAAAUGGGGGCCCCCA
rnacentral:rRNA from 1 species